CAGGCCCGGGCCCUGGAUCUGGGACAGAAAGCAUUCAGCAAGGGGGCCGCGCGGGUCGGGACCGAGGGCAGGACACGGCUGGGGAUGAAGCAGCAGUGAGGAAUAUGCGUACACCAUUUCUGCCUUGAACUGUUCUGCCCUAAAAAGCAGCUACCUAACUGCCAUUAACUAUAGAAACCAGGUGUGAAUUACUGUGUGUUUAUCGCACAUUUGCUACAGGAGAUGAGUACUCCAGGAUCGUUACCAUGGUUCGACUGAUAGAAGGUGACAUACAUCCUACAGUGAGAAAGUACAUGAGGCAGUUGUGGGACAGGAUAAACUGGAUUUUUUCUUCCCUUUAAAAGUUCAGUUUGAAUUAUUGAUAAGACACUUUGUUAUGUGGGUUUAUAAAAAGCUAUGGAGGAUAUACCUUUUUUUUUUUCCUGAAUCUAGCUGAUACUUACUUAUCUUUGGCCUUAACAAGAAGCUUUUAUAACAAUACAUCUUUUUUUCAUCCUGGAAAAGCAGCUUGUUAUACAGCAACACUGGCCUAGUCUCUAAAUAAUCCACACAAAAGAAGCACAAGAUUAGAAAAUCUGUAAUACCAACACAAAACUGAAACCUCAUUUAUAUUAAUACUUUCUUCGAAAUUAAUUAUGGCACCUGAGGUAAUACCUAGUUCCUGUUCUGUGUCACCACCAAGGCAGUCAGAACCACAUCUUUGACUAUUGGUCAGAUGAGGUCUACAUGGAUCUGGAUCUGACUUAUAACCAUCUUUAGCGGGGAAACAUGAAGCUUUUUGUUUGCACAAAUAAAUGGAAAUGGCAGUUCUUAAGUUUUGGAGAUAAAUAUACCAAGAUCAUUGCAAAAUUGUCUGUUUUCUACAUGUAUGUUUGUGUUUGCUUAUGUGGAUGUACUUAAAUACAA